rnacentral:rRNA from 1 species
UACGAAGGGGGCUAGCGUUGCUCGGAAUCACUGGGCGUAAAGCGCACGUAGGCGGACUCUUAAGUCGGUGGUGAAAUCCUGGAGCUCAACUCCAGAACUGCCUUCGAUACUGAGAGUCUUGAGUCCGGGAGAGGUGAGUGGAACUGCGAGUGUAGAGGUGAAAUUCGUAGAUAUUCGCAAGAACACCAGUGGCGAAGGCGGCUCACUGGCCCGGUACUGACGCUGAGGUGCGAAAGCGUGGGGAGCAAACGGGGAU